rnacentral:rRNA from 1 species
CACGUAGGGCGCAAGCGUUGUCCGGAAUUAUUGGGCGUAAAGAGCUCGUAGGCGGUCUGUUGCGUCUGCUGUGAAAACCCGGGGCUUAACCCCUGGCUUGCAGUGGAUACGGACAGACUAGAGGUAGGUAGGGGAGACUGGAAUUCCUGGUGUAGCGGUGAAAUGCGCAGAUAUCGGGAAGAACACCCGUGGCGAAGGCGGUUCUCUGGGACGGUACUGACGCUGAGACGCGAAAGCGUGGGGAGCGAACAGG